GAUGAACGCUGGCGGCGUGCCUAAUACAUGCAAGUCGAGCGAACGGACGAGAAGCUUGCUUCUCUGAUGUUAGCGGCGGACGGGUGAGUAACACGUGGAUAACCUACCUAUAAGACUGGGAUAACUUCGGGAAACCGGAGCUAAUACCGGAUAAUAUUUUGAACCGAAUGGUUCAAAAGUGAAAGACGGUCUUGCUGUCACUUAUAGAUGGAUCCGCGCUGCAUUAGCUAGUUGGUAAGGUAACGGCUUACCAAGGCAACGAUGCAUAGCCGACCUGAGAGGGUGAUCGGCCACACUGGAACUGGAACACGGUCCAGACUCCUACGGGAGGCAGCAGUAGGGAAUCUUCCGCAAUGGGCGAAAGCCUGACGGAGCAACGCCGCGUGAGUGAUGAAGGUCUUCGGAUCGUAAAACUCUGUUAUUAGGGAAGAACAUAUGUGUAAGUAACUGUGCACAUCUUGACGGUACCUAAUCAGAAAGCCACGGCUAACUACGUG
rnacentral:rRNA from 1 species